AAUAAUUUUAAGUAUUUUAGAACCAUGGAAUUUCUAAAAAAUAAAACUAAUUGCAAGAAAAGGGAAGUAAAAGCAUUGGAAAAAUAAAAAUAAAAUGAAAGAAAAGAAAAAGUAGUAAAAGUAUUUAAAUGUCUGGAAAGUCUGAAAAGGCCCUGAUAUGACAAUGUGGAACAAUUCAAACGAGAAAACUAACGACCUUAUUCAUAUAUACAAGGAAAGGAACCAAAAACAAACAUGUAACACAUAAACAAACGACAACCACUGAAUUUCAGGGUCCUGACUUGGGACAGGCACAAAGAAUUUAUCAAUUUCAUUUUGUUAACAAAUUAUGAUUUUUA
rnacentral:lncRNA from 1 species